rnacentral:lncRNA from 10 species
AAAAAAAGCCAGAACACUGACAACACCAAGUGCUAGUAAGAAUGUGAAACAAUAGAAGCUCGCAUGCAUUGCUGCUGGGAAUGUGAAAGGUACAGAACUUUGGAAGACAGUUCAGCAGCUUCUUACAAAACUAAACGUACUCUCAUAUGACCCAGCAAUUGCCCUCCUUGGUAUUUACUCAGAGGAGCCAAAAAUUUAUGUCUACACAGGCAUGAGCCACCAUGCCUGGGCCCUCUUCCUUUAGUUAAUUUUAUAUACCUACACCUAGGCGGAGCACAAAGGAGGGAAGGGGUUGUUUCUACUCUAAAAAUACUGGAGUAACAUGCCCACCUCUGCCCCUAACCCCUAAACAUGCUAUGUGAUUUCCCCUUUUGGGGCUUCAAAUGCAUCAUUUAUGAAAUAAGAGGGUGGCAGACUGUCAAAGGGCCCUUCAAGCCCUGGCAUUCUAAGACUGAAUUAUAGCUUCUAAUUUUCUUCUUUCACUGUGAUAGCACUUUGCUUGUUGUGAAGCGCUUUGCUCUCUGGUGUGAGAGGUUAGGCUUUCUAUGACUCUGAGAUAAUCUGAGUUAGUAUUACUAUCCACAUUUUGAAGUUGAGGAAACAGAUUUAGGGAUGUGAAGUUGUGUACCCAAGAUCACUGAUGGGGCUCAGGGCACCCCACCCCAAAAUAUGACUAUAGGAGAUCACAGCAUGCCACCCCAAAAUGUACCUCUUUGGCAUAUUUGAGCUGAUUAUUCUGAGAAACUGCAGACACAGGAGUAGCUCUGAAAAUUUGUCCUUUUAUAAAAGAACUUCACAUCUAUAAAGGAAAUCUACAUUAGUAGAUUAUCUGUAUUAGGAAGAUAACUGCUCUGAGAUAACAUUUUAUCUUAUCUUUUAUUUUAUUUUAUUUUAUUUUAUUUUAUUUUGAGACAGAGUCUCACUCAGUUUCCCAGGCUGGAGGGCAGUUGCACAAUCUCAGCUCACUGCAACCUUCACCUCCCAGGUUCAAGCGAUUCUCAUGCCUCAGCCUUCCGAAUAGUUGAGAUUACAGGCUCGUGCCACCACACCCAGCUAAUUUUUUGUAUUUUUAGUAGAGAUGGGGUUUCACCAUGUUGGCCAGGCUGGUCUUGAACUCCUGACCUCAAGUAAUCUGCCCACCUCAGCCUCCAAAAGUGCUGGGAUUACAGGCACAAGCCACCACCCCCAGCCCUGAGAUAACCUUUAUUACCUGAGAGACUUUUUAUCUGCAUAGCAGAAUGCCCUUGGUUCAUAUAUGUUUCCUCCCCUUGCCCUCCUGUGGCUUGUUGCCACCUACCCCUCCCU